UCCAGUAAUCUCAAUACCCUAAAGGCACCAGGUCCUGUUUGAUCUUGGAAGCUAAGAGAAGCCAGCUCUGGUUAGAACUUGGAUGUGAGAGUGCCAAUAAAUACUGAGUGCUGCAGGCU
rnacentral:rRNA from 11 species